AGUGAACGCUAGCGGCAGGCCUAACACAUGCAAGUCGAGGGGUAGAGGUUGCUUGCAACCUUGAGACCGGCGCACGGGUGCGUAACGCGUAUGCAAUCUGCCUUGUACUGAGGGAUAGCCCAGAGAAAUUUGGAUUAAUACCUCAUAGUAUCUUUUCCCGGCAUCGGGAGUUUAUUAAAGUUCCAACGGUACAAGAUGGGCAUGCGUACCAUUAGCUAGUUGGUAUGGUAACGGCAAACCAAGGCAAUGAUGGGUAGGGGUCCUGAGAGGGAGAACCCGCACACGGGUACUGAGACACGGGACAGACUGCUACGGGAGGCAGCAGGGGGGAAGAUUGGGGAAUGGGAGCAAGCGUGAACCAGCCAUGCCGAGGGCAGGAUGAAGCAUCUAUGGUGUGUAAACUGCUUUUAUACGGGAAGAAACGCCGGUUGGUGAACCGGCUUGGCGGUACGGUAAGAAAAAAGAUCGGCUAGCUCCGGGCCAGCCGCCACCGUAA
rnacentral:rRNA from 1 species